UACGUAGGGUCCGAGCGUUGUCCGGAAUUAUUGGGCGUAAAGCGCGUGUAGGCGGUCCGGUAAGUCCGCUGUGAAAGUCGGGGGCUCAACCCUCGGAUGCCGGUGGAUACUGUCGGGCUUGAGUACGGAAGAGGCGAGUGGAAUUCCUGGUGUAGCGGUGAAAUGCGCAGAUAUCAGGAGGAACACCAAUUGCGAAGGCAGCUCGCUGGGACGUUACUGACGCUGAGACGCGAAAGCGUGGGGAGCAAGCAGG
rnacentral:rRNA from 1 species